CCCCCCACCCCGCCCCCCGAAGCGUGUGCCCAGACCCUACCUGGGCUGAGCAGGAAGGCGCCAAGCAGGAGCAGACCGAGCUCCAAAGGUUUCAUUCCUGAGCGUGGACGGAGGAGGGCGAGCAACUUGGCGUCCAGUUGGUGGUUCCUUCGCCCCCGGGGUCUCCCCCGUUGCCUUUCCUGCCCGUCCCUCGGUCCGUCCGUCUGUCCGGCCGGGACCCUGCCCCCUGCCCUCCUUGCCCACCCCCCACCGCCCCCAAUCCUCCUCGCUCCCUUUCUAAUAUUGGGGUCCGGCUGGGACGGGGCGGCGGGGAUUCAGCGCCCACGGCAAGCCCGGCGUCUCGGAGACCAACUCACUUCUCGCAGACCCGUCCAUCCCCCAAGCUCCCUCGACAUCGCAGACACACAUACACACACACACACAUGCACAACACACACACACACAAUACACACACACACCGCGUCCUCGGGCGGCUCCUCUCCGGGCGGGAGAUAGGCGAGGCGAUCCGGUCGCCGGCGGGGAGGAGGAGGAGGAGGGAGGGAGGAGGAGGAGGGAGGGAGGAAGAGGAGGAGGAAUGGAGGAGGAGGAGGAGGAGGAGGAGGAAGGGAGGAGGAGGAGGAAGAGGAGGGAAGAGGGAAGAGGGAGGGGAGAGGGGAGGAGCGAGGGGGGAGGGGGGAGGAGCAAGGAGGGAGGGGCAUCAGCAUCCAAGAGGCCCUAAGCUCUCAACACCUCCCCCUCCCCUCCUCGUCCCGUCCCCCCACCCCCAAAUCCGAGGGGUGAGGGAAGGGUGCGGGGAGGGGGCUGAUCUUCUUUUGUCUCCCAACAGGAGGACGGACCCCUCGACUGCCGCCUCUGCAUUGGACACCCACGAGUCACAGAAAGUGAUCAAUUAAGUCCACUGAUUAACUGAUUGACUGAAGGCUCUUGGGGUGUCGAGAAUUGCAGUGCAUGCCAAGGCAACCUCCUGCUGGGUCCUGGUGCCACAGCCCAGUGGUGACUGGGCUGGGUCACCUGGAUCACUGGUAAGUCCUGUACAUAAAACCCCUGCGUGUGGCUUUUUGUAGGAUGCUGCACCUUCACCCUUCUUCUUAAUCGUGGCACUUAGUGCCCGGGAGGUGGGGGUGGGGGGCGGGACACGACAGGGAGAGAUCAGAGAGUGUGAAUUGUGCAAACCACUGGUACUAGAAUCAACUCACAGGUUCUCGAUCUUGAAGUUGUCACAAUGAAGCUCAUCGGUCACUCUCGAUAGGAGGCCAUUAAAACUACAAGCUCUUUGAGGGCAGGGAUUAUGUCU
rnacentral:lncRNA from 1 species